rnacentral:rRNA from 1 species
UACGUAGGGUGCAAGCGUUAAUCGGAAUUACUGGGCGUAAAGCGUGCGCAGGCGGCUUUGCAAGACAGAUGUGAAAUCCCCGGGCUUAACCUGGGAACUGCAUUUGUGACUGCAUGGCUGGAGUGCGGCAGAGGGGGAUGGAAUUCCGCGUGUAGCAGUGAAAUGCGUAGAGAUGUGGAGGAAUACCGAUGGCGAAGGCAGCCCCCUGGGAUGACACUGACGCUCAUGCACGAAAGCGUGGGGAGCAAACAGG